rnacentral:rRNA from 1 species
AUACGGAGGAUCCGAGCGUUAUCCGGAUUUAUUGGGUUUAAAGGGUGCGCAGGCGGCCAUUUAAGUCAGCGGUUAAAUCGUGGGGCUCAACCCCAUUCUGCCGUUGAUACUGGGUGGCUUGAUUGCGGUCGAGGUUGGCGGAAUUCGUUGUGUAGCGGUGAAAUGCAUAGAUAUGACGAAGAGCACCGAUUGCGUAGGCAGCUGACCAGACCGCAAAUGACGCUCAUGCACGAAAGUGCGGGGAUCGAACAGGAUUAGAUACCCUGGUAGUCCGCACAGUAAACGAUGAAUACUUGUUUUCGGCGAUAUAAUGUCGGAGGCAAAGCGAAAGCGAUAAGUAUUCCACCUGGGGAGUACGCCGGCAACGGUGAAACUUAAAGGAAUUGACGGGG